AGUGAACGCUGGCGGUAGGCCUAACACAUGCAAGUCGAACGGCAGCACAGUAAGAGCUUGCUCUUACGGGUGGCGAGUGGCGGACGGGUGAGGAAUACAUCGGAAUCUACUUUUUCGUGGGGGAUAACGUAGGGAAACUUACGCUAAUACCGCAUACGACCUACGGGUGAAAGCAGGGGAUCUUCGGACCUUGCGCGAUUGAAUGAGCCGAUGUCGGAUUAGCUAGUUGGCGGGGUAAAGGCCCACCAAGGCGACGAUCCGUAGCUGGUCUGAGAGGAUGAUCGGCCACACUGGAACUGGGACACGGUCCAGACUCCUACGGGAGGCAGCAGUGGGAAAUAUUGGACAAUGGGCGCAAGCCUGAUCCAGCCAUACCGCGUGGGUGAAGAAGGCCUUCGGGUUGUAAAGCCCUUUUGUUGGGAAAGAAAAGCAGCAGGUUAAUACCCCGCUGUUCUGACGGUACCCAAAGAAUAAGCACCGGCUAACUUCGU
rnacentral:rRNA from 1 species